UACGGGGGGGGCAAGCGUUGUUCGGAAUUACUGGGCGUAAAGGGUUCGUAGGUGGCCUACUAAGUCAGACGUGAAAUCCCUCAGCUUAACUGGGGAACUGCGUCUGAUACUGGUGGGCUUGAGGACAGGAGAGGAACGCGGAAUUCCAGGUGUAGCGGUGAAAUGCGUAGAUAUCUGGAGGAACACCGGUGGCGAAGGCGGCGUUCUGGACUGUUUCUGACACUGAGGAACGAAAGCCAGGGGAGCAAACGGG
rnacentral:rRNA from 1 species